rnacentral:tRNA from 2 species
GCGCCCGUAGCUCAGAUGGAUAGAGCGCCGGACUUCGAAUCCGUAGGCCGCAGGUUCGAAUCCUGCCGGGCGUGCCA